UACGAAGGGGGCUAGCGUUGCUCGGAAUCACUGGGCGUAAAGGGUGCGUAGGCGGGUCUUUAAGUCAGGGGUGAAAUCCUGGAGCUCAACUCCAGAACUGCCUUUGAUACUGGAGAGCUUGAGUCCGGGAGAGGUGAGUGGAACUCCGAGUGUAGAGGUGAAAUUCGUAGAUAUUCGGAAGAACACCAGUGGCGAAGGCGGCUCACUGGCCCGGUACUGACGCUGAGGUGCGAAAGCGUGGGGAGCAAACA
rnacentral:rRNA from 1 species